AUGCAGUCUUGCUCCAUCACCCAGGCUGAAGUGCAGUGGCAAGAUCUUGGCUCACUGAAACCGCCAUCUCCCAGGUUCAAGCAAUUCUUCUGCCUCAGCCUCCCGAGUAGCUGGGAUUACAGAUAGUAGGACUGAACUUCUGAGAGGUUAAGCGACAUGGCACAGAUUACACAGAAGAGAAAGAUUUUGAAGAUCAGAUGAAGUAGUUACCUUGGAAUACUGCAGAAGAAGGUAUCCAAAGGUUUAGGGGUAUUGGAAUGUUAGAGUUAUGAUGUAAACCUGCUCACUCACCCAAGGAGGGUCCAGAGGGUACACCUUUCACCAGGACUGUCAGAAAGAAAUUUGCGAGGGCACCUCAGCAUCCCCUAAGUACUCUAACUCAAAUCAUCAAAACAGAGAGUCACAGUUCCUUUGUAAAAGUAUUUUAAAAAAGCAAUUUGAAAAUUGACAAAUGCUAUAAAAAUUUCAACUACUGUUACUAUUAUUAUUUUAGUCCUCAGCAAGGAAAAUAAAAAUUUGUUCUUUCUGAGUGCUCUUUCCA
rnacentral:lncRNA from 1 species